rfam:Cyanobium sp. PCC 7001 scf_1106012173546 genomic scaffold, whole genome shotgun sequence.
UGGGGUGUGAGGAGUGCGGAACGUCUCUUCAGGGUCGAAACGAGGACAGACUCCCGAAGAUCGUUCCAACGU